UAGGGAAUCUUCGGCAAUGGGGGGAACCCUGACCGAGCAACGCCGCGCGAGUGAAGAAGGUUUUCGGAUCGUAAAGCUCUGUUGUUAAGGAAGAACGAGUGUGAGAAUGGAAAGUUCAUACUGUGACGGUACUUAACCAGAAAGGGACGGCUAACUACGUGCCAGCAGCCGCGGUAAUACGUAGGUCCCGAGCGUUGUCCGGAUUUAUUGGGCGUAAAGCGAGCGCAGGCGGUUAGAUAAGUCUGAAGUUAAAGGCAGUGGCUCAACCAUUGUAGGCUUUGGAAACUGUUUAACUUGAGUGCAGAAGGGGAGAGUGGAAUUCCAUGUGUAGCGGUGAAAUGCGUAGAUAUAUGGAGGAACACCGGUGGCGAAAGCGGCUCUCUGGUCUGUAACUGACGCUGAGGCUCGAAAGCGGGGGGAGCGAACAGG
rnacentral:rRNA from 1 species